CAGACAAUAACAAUGAUUUCCGUUUCAACAUCACAUUUAUAUGCAAUACCCAUAUUUAUUAUGCAACAUCAUAAGAGCUUUUCUAUUAAGAUCUUGGUAUUCAGCAACAAACUCUUUCUUGACUUAGUUCUAAGCCAAAUAUGACCCCUGAUCUUGCUUGGAUGGGAGAUUUGUAAAGUAUUAUGAAAAACACACUUAGUUUUUCAGCCCUAUAACAUUAGCAUACAUAUGAAUGUGUUCAGUAACCAUAAACAUCCAAUAUACAUAAGGUGGUAUUCAUACGUUUUCUGGUUGCAACAAUUACCCUUCAUUUUGUAUGAAGAGAAUAAAGGGAAGGAAACCAAGAUGAACCACGCCUGUAAUAGGGACUAGACGUGGAGUUCCCACUUAAUGCUCCCAAUAGCCCCAUGAGUAAGUAUUAUCUCUGUUUUACUGAAGUGCAGAUAAGUUGGUUAACUAGCUAGGUCAAAGCUCACACUCAUUUCCAAAUUAAUCCUUAAAGCUUCCUGACUGGGAGGAGCUGAUUAAUUAACAUUAAUUUAUUCAUCAUGCACUUUUCUAAAGCUCUUGAAAAGCCUAUUGAUCCACACUGGACUUAUCAAAGGAAAUGCACAAAAAUUUCCAAAGGGAAAUUUGCCCUCUAUUGCUGGUCAAAACAGCUUCACUGAAGAAGAGACAUACCAAAAUCUAGAAACUGAUUUUCUUUAAAAGUCUGACAAGAAAGAAAAAUCUGACAAGAAAAUUCGACUAGCCUAAAGUACAAAUGCACAGCCUCGCAGAGGGUGGUUUACAUGAGAGUUGAGAUGUUACUGGCUCGCAAAAUGAGGGUGUGCAGAAGGAGGGUUCAGAGACAGCCCAGCUUUGUCUUAGACAAAAUUAAUGUUCCCAGUCUGAACAAUGUGAACAUGGGCACAUCUUGUUUCUGCCCCUUUGAUAGGCAGCAGAUGUCACAACCAGUCAUAAAUGCAGGUCCACAGAAGUUUUCAAGAAAGGAACCUUGGGUUUGUAUCCAAGUUCUGAGCUGCUGCUGCCUCCAACACUGAGGUCCACUGAAAUAUUCCUGUCAGUAGACUUCGAGCAGGCAGUUAUUAUAAAAACGCAGUGAAAUCUGGGGCAAGGGGUGGGGGGGGGGAAUCUCUUGCAUUUUAUUUAAAUCUCUUGCACUUUAUUUAAGCCCACACAAGUACUCAUUUAGUUCUUGUUUAUUUUGCUCUUUAAUUCCUGGAAUUAUUCAGUCAGUGGUGUUUUUGGAAGUCUGUGUUCUCCAGAGUCUCCCCAUCCACAUAUUUUUGACAUGCUUGUAUGGAAAUUUUUUAAAAAUAAAGACCACGGUCAAUAGAAUUGUGCAUUUUCCUCACGAGUCGUUUUGUAAAUGAAUGAUCACGUGUGUGAUUUUUCAGAUGUCACUUGCACAACAGCAGACUAGAACUUUAAAACUCCUUGAUUUCAGUGAAAUCCAAGCUUUGCCUAUUCCCGUUCCUCUUCCAUCCAGGGGUUAUUUGGCUGAACUGUUUUCCUGUUUAAACAACUUGAACACCAACCAACUAGACAAACAGCGCUGCUUGCAAAAGAGGGCCUACUUCCUCCGGCCCCCACCCCCAUCCCAGCAACCCCACUCCGGCCGCGCACCAGCAGGGGAAAUCGCCACCAACGUCCCCGCUUCUCAUUUCAGCCCGAAAUUGCCCUGAAACGGCGCCCGUCGUGCGACUCCAAGUCCCUCAGUUCUCCGGCCAACUGGCCUAAUUUGGGGGUUCCCUCCCCGCGGAGUGGGGUCUGCGGUGAGGAUGUGGACUCCGAGGAAGACAGAGCCCUCCCUUAUUCUCGGCCACCUCCCCUCCCCGAGGGCAGGCGGGUGAGAGGUGACCCGGAGCCAGGACCCACGGGGGACGGGCGUGCAGGGAAGGGCGGGAUGGCCGGCCGGGUGUUGCGUCUGC
rnacentral:lncRNA from 1 species